GACGAACGCUGGCGGCGUGCUUAACACAUGCAAGUCGAACGGUAAGGCCCUUCGGGGUACACGAGUGGCGAACGGGUGAGUAACACGUGGGUGAUCUGCCCUGCACUUCGGGAUAAGCCUGGGAAACUGGGUCUAAUACCGGAUAGGACCACUGCCUGCAUGGGUGGUGGUGGAAAGCUUUUGCGGUGUGGGAUGGGCCCGCGGCCUAUCAGCUUGUUGGUGGGGUGAUGGCCUACCAAGGCGACGACGGGUAGCCGGCCUGAGAGGGUGACCGGGCACACUAGGACUGAGAUGCGGCACAGACUCCUACGGGAGGCAGCAGUGGGGAAUAUUGCACGAUGGGCGCAAGCCUGAUGCAGCGACGCCGCGUGAGGGAUGACGGCCUUCGGGUUGUAAACCUCUUUCAGCACCGACGAAGCGCAAGUGACGGUAGGUGCAGAAGAAGGACCGGCCAACUACGUGCCAGCAGCCGCGGUAA
rnacentral:rRNA from 1 species